UUCUUCUUCUCUUCUCUGUUCUUACUCUGUCUUCUCCCAUGUUUCCGCGUCACUGAGUCAUGGCGAUUCGCAACUCGCUCGCCGGCCGAUUCCUCCGCCGAAGAUCCAUUUCCGGAGAAAGGCUCAUGUCGUCAUGAUUCCGGAGCAUCGAGCCCUAGCCGAUCAGAGUCCAAACAAAGUCAACGUCGGAGUGGGUGCGUAUCGCGAUGACGACGGAAAACCUGUGGUUUUGGAAUGUGUUAGAGAAGCAGAGAGGAGGAUUGCCGGAAGUCAAUUCAUGUAUACUAUAAAAAUACUAUUAGCAUGUAGUUGAAUCAGUGGAAUUGGACCCAUCUCGAAUUAGAUUA